AGUGAACGCUGGCGGUAGGCCUAACACAUGCCAGUCGAACGGCAGCACAGUAAGAGCUUGCUCUUACGGGUGGCGAGUGGCGGACGGGUGAGGAAUACAUCGGAAUCUACUUUUUCGUGGGGGAUAACGUAGGGAAACUUACGCUAAUACCGCAUACGACCUACGGGUGAAAGCAGGGGAUCUUCGGACCUUGCGCGAUUGAAUGAGCCGAUGUCGGAUUAGCUAGUUGGCGGGGUAAAGGCCCACCAAGGCGACGAUCCGUAGCUGGUCUGAGAGGAUGAUCAGCCACGCUGGAACUGAGACACGGUCCAGACUCCUACGGGAGGCAGCAGUGGGGAAUAUUGGACAAUGGGCGCAAGCCUGAUCCAGCCAUACCGCGUGGGUGAAGAAGGCCUUCGGGUUGUAAAGCCCUUUUGUUGGGAAAGAAAAGCAGCAGGUUAAUACCCCGCUGUUCUGACGGUACCCAAAGAAUAAGCACCGGCUAACUUCGUG
rnacentral:rRNA from 1 species